UAAUAAUUAACUUGUACCGAAGACAGUAGGUGGCAUUCGCCUUAAUUUCCUACCGAGGACGUUUAUUGAAUACUUUCAAUAGUCCCUCUAUGUCUGCGGUGGCAUAGAGUUUUUUAUU
rnacentral:sRNA from 1 species